rnacentral:misc_RNA from 1 species
ACCCUGCCCCCUUUACUUCUUUUACGGUGAAGCAACAUGCCACUGGUUGACGACAAUCGACAGUGGGCACUCUUUUCCGCUUGUCCUCUCGUUAUUAUCUUCCCCUCUCACCCUCUCUCCAUCCCUCUUUUUCUAGCUACUAUAGGCGGCGAAAGACAAGAACACCAAGGACCACUGACGAGCCUCAAUUACUGGAAGCAGCGCACAACGAAGGACAGAAGUAGCGGUGGUCAGCGCUGCCUCGACUCCUCUCUCUCUCAGAGGUCAGUGAAGCACCUCCGUCCAUCUCUUCCUCCCCUCUCUAAUUCCCCUUCGCUCCCUCUCUUUUCCUGUCUUCUCUGGCGAAAACUAGCAACUCUAGUGCUCAGACAAGGAGUAGUGACAAUGUAUGAGCAACACCUGCUAGAAAUGGCUCCAACCAGAAAGACCCUCAUGUCUCCAUUCUUUCUUUCUUCGGCAAGGUUCGAGUUUGAAUACGGAUCUCAAUAGAUCCGUCCAAGUAAACUUUAAUUUAAAUUUUAUUUUAGUUGAAUCUUUG